UGUGACAGUGAUGAGUUGCACUAUUAGUCGGGUUGCUGAUUGCGGCGGCACAGUGAACCCAUCCUGAUAACCUGUGGUGACACUGACUGUGCACAGGGGCCAUCUGAGUCACC
rnacentral:snoRNA from 1 species